GGAGAGUGAAAAUUCAGUGCCAGUAAUUGAUUUAGAGGAUUUUCCAAGGCAAUUAUCUAAGUUAAUUUGGGCAUGUGAAGAAUGGGGUUGUUUCAGAAUUUUGAACCAUGAUAAAAUCCUUCCAGUUUCACUCAUGGCAGAGAUGAAGGAAGUGGUGAGGGCAUUGUUUGAUCUUCCAACUGAAAUCAAGAAACGCAACAAAGAUGUAAUUGCAGGAUCUGGGUAUAUGGCUCCUAGUGAAAGAAACCCUCUUUAUGAAGCUUUGGGUCUCUAUGAUAUGUCUUGUGUUGAAGAUGUAGAUGAGUUUUGUACUCAGUUGGAUGCAUCUCCACAUCAAAGAGAGACAAUCAAGAAGUAUGCUGCAGCAAUUAAUGGACUAAUGAUGGACAUUCUGCGAAAGAUGAGUGAAGGAUUGGGACUGCGAAAUGUUUCGUUUGAGGAUUGGCCUUGUCAGUUUAGGAUUAACAAGUACCACUUCACCCCAGAAGCUGUAGGUUCCUAUGGGGUUCAGAUACACACAGACUCAGGAUUCCUUACUAUUCUACAGGAUGAUGAAUGCGUUGGUGGUCUCGAGGUCAUGAAGAAGUCUGGUGAAUUUGUAGCAGUUGAUCCUUGGCCAAACACCCUCCUUGUGAAUCUUGGAGACAUAGGCACGGUAUGGAGCAAUGGAAGACUAUACUCCGCCAAGCAUAGAGUGAUAUGCAAGGAAGCAAAACUACGAGUGUCUAUUGCUUCAUUCCUCUUGGGACCAAGGGACACGGCAGUGGAACCACCACCUGAGCUGGUAAAUGCUGAACACCCCCGUAUCUAUGUUCCUUUCACUUUCAAUGAUUAUAGGAAGCUCCGUUUAUCGACAAAGUUGCAGGCAGGGGAAGCUCUUGAUCUUAUGCGAACUAACCUGUAAAACUUUGGAAAGCAUCUCAGGUCCUCCGUUAUAUUGAUUUACAGAAAUGAUCUUGAAAGUAAGAAAGAUAAUAUAUCUUAGUGGGAUUUCAUCAUCUAUAUAUCGUCAUAUGUGUGGUGGAGCAAUAAAAU
rnacentral:misc_RNA from 1 species